CUUACCUUUGCAGGACUUUGUUUCGUUUGUUAACGAAUUAAAAGGGAAUCAGGUGAAAAUCCUGAACAGACCCGCUGCUGUAAGCUCUUUAAAGCUUGUGCAACAUAGCCACUGUUAUUCGUAAUGGGAAGGCUGUACAAGUUGGAGUAAGUCAGAAGACCUGCAAAGUAAUAGUUCGGACA
rnacentral:ncRNA from 2 species